rnacentral:rRNA from 1 species
UUAAAACGAAGAGUUUGAUCCUGGCUCAGGAUGAACGCUGGCGGCGUGCUUAACACAUGCAAGUCGAACGAACGACUAUUAACAGAACCUUUCGGGGCGAAGAUGAUAGAAGUUAGUGGCGGACGGGUGCGUAACGCGUGGGUAAUCUGCCUUUGUCAAAGGAAUAACUAUUCGAAAGAAUAGCUAAAACCGUAUAACAUAUUAAUAGGGCAUCCUAAUAAUAUCAAAACGAUAGUGGACAAAGAUGAGCCCGCGUCUGAUUAGCUAGUUGGUGAGAUAAAAGCCCACCAAGGCAACGAUCAGUAGCCGACCUGAGAGGGUGAACGGCCACAUUGGAACUGAGACACGGUCCAAACUCCUACGGGAGGCAGCAGUGGGGAAUAUUGCACAAUGGGGGGAACCCUGAUGCAGCAACGCCGCGUGAGUGAAGAAGGCAUUCGUGUCGUAAAACUCUGUAGUAGGGGAAGAAAGAAAUGACAGUACCCUAAAAGAAAGCCCCGGCUAACUACGUGCCAGCAGCCGCGGUAAUACGUAGGGGGCAAGCGUUAUCCGGAAUAACUGGGCGUAAAGGGUGCGCAGGUGGUUUAACAAGUUAGUGGUGAAAGGCAUAGGCUCAACCAAUGUAAGCCAUUAAAACUGUUUAACUUGAGUGCAGGAGAGGAAAGUGGAAUUCCUAGUGUAGCGGUGAAAUGCGUAGAUAUUAGGAGGAAUACCAGUGGCGAAGGCGACUUUCUGGACUGCAACUGACACUGAGGCACGAAAGCGUGGGGAGCAAACAGGAUUAGAUACCCUGGUAGUCCACGCCGUAAACGAUGAGUACUAGGUGUCGGGUGAAGAACUCGGUGCCGAAGUUAACACAUUAAGUACUCCGCCUGGGGAGUACGCUCGCAAGAGUAAAACUCAAAGGAAUUGACGGGGACCCGCACAAGCAGCGGAGCAUGUGGUUUAAUUCGAAGCAACGCGAAGAACCUUACCUAAACUUGACAUACCAAUGACAGCCUUUUAAUCGAGGACUUUUACCUUCGGGUAGACAAUGGAUACAGGUGGUGCAUGGUUGUCGUCAGCUCGUGUCGUGAGAUGUUGGGUUAAGUCCCGCAACGAGCGCAACCCUUGUCGAUAGUUACCAGCAGUAAGAUGGGGACUCUAUCGAGACAGCUAAGGACAACUUAGAGGAAGGUGGGGAUGACGUCAAAUCAUCAUGCCCCUUAUGUUUAGGGCUACACACGUGCUACAAUGGUCAUUACAGAGAGAAGCGAAACUGCGAAGUCAAGCAAACCUCAAAAAGAUGAUCCAAGUUCGGAUUGUAGGCUGAAACUCGCCUACAUGAAGUUGGAGUUGCUAGUAAUCGCGAAUCAGAAUGUCGCGGUGAAUGCGUUCCCGGGUCUUGUACACACCGCCCGUCACACCAUGGGAGUUUGGGGGGCCCAAAGUCAGCGACUCAACCGCAAGGAGAGAGCUGCCCAAGGCAAAACAAAUGACUGGGGUGAAGUCGUAACAAGGUAGCCGUAUCGGAAGGUGCGGCUGGAUCACCUCCUUUCU